rnacentral:rRNA from 1 species
GAUGAACGCUGGCGGCGUGCUUAACACAUGCAAGUCGAACGGUGAAGCAGGAGCUUGCUCUUGUGGAUCAGUGGCGAACGGGUGAGUAACACGUGAGCAACCUGCCCCUGACUCUGGGAUAAGCGCUGGAAACGGCGUCUAAUACUGGAUAUAUGAUGUGACCGCAUGGUCUGCAUCUGGAAAGAAUUUCGGUUGGGGAUGGGCUCGCGGCCUAUCAGCUUGUUGGUGAGGUAAUGGCCCACCAAGGCGUCGACGGGUAGCCGGCCUGAGAGGGUGACCGGCCACACUGGGACUGAGACACGGCCCAGACUCCUACGGGAGGCAGCAGUGGGGAAUAUUGCACAAUGGGCGGAAGCCUGAUGCAGCAACGCCGCGUGAGGGAUGACGGCCUUCGGGUUGUGAACUUCUUUUAGCAGGGAAGAAGCGAAAGUGACGGUACCUGCAGAAAAAGCACCGGCUAACUACGUGCCAGCCGCCGCGGUAA